rnacentral:rRNA from 1 species
GACGAACGCUGGCGGCGUGCCUAAUACAUGCAAGUAGAACGCUGAGGUUUGGCGUUUACACUAGACUGAUGAGUUGCGAACGGGUGAGUAACGCGUAGGUAACCUGCCUCAUAGCGGGGGAUAACUAUUGGAAACGAUAGCUAAUACCGCAUAAGAGUAAUUAACACAUGUUGGUUAUUUAAAAGGAGCAAUUGCUUCACUGUGAGAUGGACCUGCGUUGUAUUAGCUAGUUGGUGAGGUAAAGGCUCACCAAGGCGACGAUACAUAGCCGACCUGAGAGGGUGAUCGGCCACACUGGGACUGAGACACGGCCCAGACUCCUACGGGAGGCAGCAGUAGGGAAUCUUCGGCAAUGGACGGAAGUCUGACCGAGCAACGCCGCGUGAGUGAAGAAGGUUUUCGGAUCGUAAAGCUCUGUUGUUAGAGAAGAACGUUGGUAGGAGUGGAAAAUCUACCAAGUGACGGUAACUAACCAGAAAGGGACGGCUAACUACGUGCCAGCAGCCGCGGUAAUACGUAGGUCCCGAGCGUUGUCCGGAUUUAUUGGGCGUAAAGCGAGCGCAGGCGGUUCUUUAAGUCUGAAGUUAAAGGCAGUGGCUUAACCAUUGUACGCUUUGGAAACUGGAGGACUUGAGUGCGGAAGGGGAGAGUGGAAUUCCAUGUGUAGCGGUGAAAUGCGUAGAUAUAUGGAGGAACACCGGUGGCGAAAGCGGCUCUCUGGUCUGUAACUGACGCUGAGGCUCGAAAGCGUGGGGAGCAAACAGG